AUUGAACGCUGGCGGCAUGCCUUACACAUGCAAGUCGAACGGCAGCACGGGCUUCGGCCUGGUGGCGAGUGGCGAACGGGUGAGUAAUACAUCGGAACGUGCCCUGUCGUGGGGGAUAACUAGUCGAAAGAUUAGCUAAUACCGCAUACGACCUGAGGGUGAAAGCGGGGGACCGUAAGGCCUCGCGCGAUAGGAGCGGCCGAUGUCUGAUUAGCUUGGUGGUGGGGUAAGCGCCUACCAAGGCGACGAUCAGUAGCUGGUCCGAGAGGACGAUCAGCCGCGCUGGGACUGAGACACGGCCCAGACUCCUACGGGAGGGAGCAGUGGGGGAUUUUGGACAAGGUGUGCAACCCUGAUCCAGCAAUGCCGCGUGUGUGAAGAAGGCCUUCGUGUUGUAACGCACUUUUGUCCGGAAAGAAAUGGCUCUGGUUAAUACCCGGGGUCGAUGACGGUACCGGAAGAAUAAGCACCGGCUAACUACGUGCCAGCCGCCGCCGUAACAC
rnacentral:rRNA from 1 species